rnacentral:rRNA from 1 species
GGUUACAGAUAUCUCAUUGUGCAGUCCAAGACCAGUUACUCACUGAAGCUAAGCAGGGCUGAGCCUGGUCAGUCCCUGGAUGGGAGACCACAUUGGAAAACUAGAUUGCUGUUGGAA